rnacentral:rRNA from 1 species
UCCAGACUCCUACGGGAGGCAGCAGUGGGGGAUAUUGCACAAUGGGGGGAACCCUGAUGCAGCGACGCCGCGUGGGUGAAGGAGCGUUUCGGCGCGUAAAGCCCUAUCGGCAGGGAAGAAGGAGGACGGUACCUGACUAAGAAGCCCCGGCUAACUACGUGCCAGCAGCCGCGGUAAUACGUAGGGGGCAAGUGUUAUCCGGAUUUACUGGGUGUAAAGGGGGCGCAGACGGCAGCGCAAGCCAGGAGUGAAAGCCCGGGGCCCAACCCCGGGACUGCUCUUGGAACUGCGCGGCUGGAGUGCAGGAGGGGCAGGCGGAAUUCCUGGUGUAGCGGUGAAAUGCGUAGAUAUCAGGAGGAACACCGGUGGCGAAGGCGGCCUGCUGGACUGCGACUGACGUUGAGGCCCGAAAGCGUGGGGAGCAAACAGGAUUAGAUACCCUCGUAC